GACGAACGCUGGCGGCGUGCUUAACACAUGCCAGUCGAACGGAAAGGCCCUGCUUUUGUGGGGUGCUCGAGUGGCGAACGGGUGAGUAACACGUGAGUAAUCUGCCCUUGACUUUGGGAUAACUUCAGGAAACUGGGGCUAAUACCGGAUAGGAGCUCCUGCUGCAUGGUGGGGGUUGGAAAGUUUCGGCGGUUGGGGAUGGACUCGCGGCUUAUCAGCUUGUUGGUGGGGUAGUGGCUUACCAAGGCUUUGACGGGUAGCCGGCCUGAGAGGGUGACCGGCCACAUUGGGACUGAGAUACGGCCCAGACUCCUACGGGAGGCAGCAGUGGGGAAUAUUGCACAAUGGGCGGAAGCCUGAUGCAGCAACGCCGCGUGCGGGAUGACGGCCUUCGGGUUGUAAACCGCUUUCGCCUGUGACGAAGCGUGAGUGACGGUAAUGGGUAAAGAAGCACCGGCUAACUACGUG
rnacentral:rRNA from 1 species